GACAGAGGGUGCAAACGUUGUUCGGAUUUACUGGGCGUAAAGCGCGUGUAGGCGGCUUUGCAAGUCGGAUGUGAAAUCCCACGGCUCAACCGUGGAAGUGCAUCCGAAACUGCAUCGCUGGAGUCUCGGAGAGGAAGGUGGAAUGCUUGGUGUAGAGGUGAAAUUCGUAGAUAUCAAGCAGAACACCUGCGGCGAAGGCGGCCUUCUGGACGAUGACUGACGCUGAGACGCGAAAGCGUGGGUAGCAAACAGG
rnacentral:rRNA from 1 species